GGUAGUCCACGCCGUAAACGAUGUCGACUUGGAGGUUGUUCCCUUGAGGAGUGGCUUCCGGAGCUAACGCGUUAAGUCGACCGCCUGGGGAGUACGGCCGCAAGGUUAAAACUCAAAUGAAUUGACGGGGGCCCGCACAAGCGGUGGAGCAUGUGGUUUAAUUCGAUGCAACGCGAAGAACCUUACCUACUCUUGACAUCCAGAGAACUUAGCAGAGAUGCUUUGGUGCCUUCGGGAACUCUGAGACAGGUGCUGCAUGGCUGUCGUCAGCUCGUGUUGUGAAAUGUUGGGUUAAGUCCCGCAACGAGCGCAACCCUUAUCCUUUGUUGCCAGCGGUUAGGCCGGGAACUCAAAGGAGACUGCCAGUGAUAAACUGGAGGAAGGUGGGGAUGACGUCAAGUCAUCAUGGCCCUUACGAGUAGGGCUACACACGUGCUACAAUGGCGCAUACAAAGAGAAGCGACCUCGCGAGAGCAAGCGGACCUCAUAAAGUGCGUCGUAGUCCGGAUUGGAGUCUGCAACUCGACUCCAUGAAGUCGGAAUCGCUAGUAAUCGUAGAUCAGAAUGCUACGGUGAAUACGUUCCCGGGCCUUGUACACACCGCCCGUCACACCAUGGGAGUGGGUUGCAAAAGAAGUAGGUAGCUUAACCUUCGGAAGGGCGCUUACCACUUUGUGAUUCAUGACUGGGG
rnacentral:rRNA from 1 species